rnacentral:snRNA from 1 species
AUAAUAUGAGCAGGUGGUUUUCCCAGGGCGAGGCUCAUCCCCUGCACUCCGGCUGUGCUGGCCCCUGCGAUUUCCCCAAAUGUGGGAAACUCGACUGCAUAAUUUGUGGUAGUGGGGGACUGCGUUCGCCUU